GUGCAUGCUUCAGCAGCACAUAUACUAAAAUUGAAACGAUACGGAGAUUAGCAUGACCCCUGCACAAGGAUGACACGCAAUUUGUGAAGAGUUCCAUAUUUUU